AAAGAUUAUUAUAAAUAAUAAGUUUAUAGUACACUCAACCAACUUUAACACUUGUCAUUGAAAUGAGUUUGACGACAAACGUGUAUUUUAAGUUUCCAUUAACUGGGUUAUACUAACAUUUUUUUCAUGUAGCUUAGCUUUUGAAAAUGUUCCUUAAUGUUAGAAAGUUAGGGAAAUGGCUCAUGUUGCAUAUUUGGAUGUUCGUAUACUAUUUAACUAAGAGGGCAACACUUAAAAGUGUGCUAAGCCACUGUUGCUGAACAACUGGUCUGUGAGAUUCUGAUAAUGUAUAUACACUGAAGGAUUACUCAACGUAGGUAUCUUCACAGACAUUAGAAACAGUUUAGUUUGUUUUUUUUUUAAUCUUUGUUGGUGUGCCUGCGAAACACGUCUCUGGGAAAAGUUAUAUGACCUGAAACAUUCUCAUCUGUAAACUAUAUAUAAACUUAAGAUAAUGACUUUUUAUGAACCAAGGCCCUGGCCCUAACUGAGACAAAUGCUUGUUUUUUUAUCAUUAUUCCUUAGAAGAAAUUUAUAUGUUCUAAAGUAGACACAGGCCCUACCGUGCUCACACUUCAUACCCCUACAGAGAGUCUAAUACUGUGAGGGCUACCUGGUAAAUAUCUGACUGAAGUCUAAAUAAAUGAUUGUGACUGAUCAGAGAUGUGGUCCUAGAUAAACUUAAUUUUUCAUGUAACUGAAGUUUUGCCUUUCAGAACCUUUAUGAACGGAUUUUGACGAACAAAUGCCUUUUUAGAAUGAAUGCUGACACAUGGGAAUUAGGAUGAAAACUCAAGGCUUAAGAGAAAUUACCAGCCUGAAACAAUGCUGUCUUCCUUCUCAACAAACUAAUAACAGAAUAGGAUGCCUAAUGGCUGUUCCUGGCUGAUACACGUGUCACCAUUCUAGGUAGAGAGUCUGCUUCAACAGCUGAGAAGAAAGGAGUCAGGAAAGCCCUUGCUCUGCAGCCAGCUCUACUGCAGCAGGCAGGCCUCACUCAGGAUUGCUGAUACUCCGGAGCAAUGAAAUGAGUCACUGGUAAAGCAGAGCCGGAGAUUGAGGGAGCAAAGGAACAGAAAAGCAAUGGGGAGUAAACAGGUACCUAUAAGAUGGGCAAAAAUGGGCAAAUGGCACCAAAAAUGCCUCAGUGGCCGGCCUCUCACUUCUGCACCACGCUGAUGCAGCAACGCUGCCAAGGGGAGCUUACACAGUCUCCCAUCUCCUGAGCCACUUACGUCUUUAAUUAUUGAAGCAUUCACUUUUCUAAAAGCAGGUGGCUUUCUAAAUACUUCACCCAUAAAUUUUUUUUUUACACAUUUCUUUUAUUACCUCCAGUCAUUCAGUAAUCUACAUGGAAGGGCAGACUUCAGAGAUUUUAAGUCAACAAAAUCUGUACAUUUCAAGGCAAAGUGGCGAGCUCUACUUUCUGCAGUUGAACCUUGUUUAGAAUAGUUUUUAUAAGCGUUUUAACUUUUCUGUAAUAUUUACACAUCUGACUGAAACAAAGUGAAGUUUUACAAUAAUUUAAGACCAUGUAUUUUCCACACAAGAUACUUACCUUAGAUUCCUUUUUGUGUCCUCCUGCCAACAACUUCAUAACCACAAAGUUGGGUUUGGCAACCUUUAAAAUUCUGCUGACCUAAACACAAUGAGCAACAUAAAGCUAUCAAAACAUAAAAUUCAUAGUCAAAAUAUCCUGAUUUAUAGAUACUAAUAGGAACUGGGUACAAUAUAAGUGUUGAGAUUUUAUUAAAAUAAAGGCAAUUUAAAAACAUGAACACCAUCAUACGUCUUUUAGUUAAUACAGAACGAACCUGAAAGGGCUACUGUAUCUUGCUUUCAUCAAAACAAAAUCUAACGUUAGGCUGCGGAAUCCUGCAAAGACACCACCAUAGUGUUUAGGGCAUGGGCUCUGGAGUCAGGCUGUCCGUUUACAAAUUCCAGCUUUGCCACUUACUAGCUAUGAAACCUCUGGAAGUUUUCUAACCUCUCUGUUCCUCAGUUUCUUCAUCUAUAAAAUGGGGAUAUUAAUUUACCCAUCCUGCAAGGAUUUGUUGUGAGGAUUGAAUUAACAUGAGCUGAGACCCACACCUGAAGGUAGUAAAUGUAAGUGUUAACUUAUUUCUAACAACCAUUUGUCUAACAGGCUCCGCCUGAACACACGAGGAACAAGGGAAUGGAAUACUGCGUUUCUCUCAGGGGGUGUGAGCAGCUAGAAGAAAAGUCCUCCCCUCCCUCUUCUUCCCUGUCUUCACACAUGCGCACAAGCUCAGGAACCGCUCCUCCUCAGCUCCAGGUGACACCUCCACCUACCUAGAGGACUGCUGCAUUCGGGCAUCCAAAAGGCUCGUCCCAAACUGAGCUCCUGACCUUCCCAGCCCUGCUUCCCCGCCUGCUCCAGCCUGUAGUCCUCCCCCCAUGGCUCAAUCCACUCAGACAGCGCUCAGGCCAAAAACUUCAAAGCCAUCCGUGAUUCCUCCUCUUCUCUCACCCCACAUCCAAUCCCUCGGCCAGUCUCACUGGCUAGACAACGCAGUCACUUCCGACCCACUGUUUCACCCGGAUUACAGCACCGGCCUGCUAACUGGCUCCCCUGCCUCCACCCUUGGUCCCACCACAGUGGCCAGAGGGAUCCUUUAGAACAAAGAUCAGAUCUGACACACCUCUGCUCAAACCUCUCCACAGCUCACCCUGGCAUGCACCCCAUCCAGCACACAGCCCUUGGCUGUUCCUGAAGUUCUCCAGGCACUCCUGCCUCUGGACCUUUACAUGUGUGCACCAUUCCCCAUGACUUGCUUCCUCACCUUCUUCCAGGAUUUGCUCAGAGGCCACCAUAUUCAACUAUCUAAUCCCCUCCACCUCCCUACCUCCUGUAGCAUUCGCUGUCCCUACUCCCAGUUUGAUUUUUCAUAGUACUUAUAAUCUUCUAAUAGACUGUAUAAUUUACUUAUUUACUAUCUGCCUGCUCUGCCCCGAGGAGGGCCUGGAUUUCUGGCUGUGACUUUUCCCUGCUGGAACCUACCACAUUGCUUAGGACGUCGCAGGCACUCUACAGUAUUUACUGAGUUAAAUAAAUGAAGUCCACUGAAAGAAAUACACCGUCCAUUACAGGUACCUUCCUUUAAUUUUUACACUCCCCCCUUUUAUUUUCUUUCAUUACAUGGUUGUAAGUAACUUUAAAAAAGAGUCCUCUCUCUCCUAUCCCUGUUCCCUAAGGCACUGAGCAACCCUUCCAAGAAGCAAAUGCUGCUGUUAAUUCCUCUAUCUAGCCAGAGACAGGUUAUACUCACACAUGUAGUCUUCAUUGGCUUCUUUUGAUUGAAAGGGCAGCAUACUAUAGACACUAAUUUUAAACUUGCUUUUUAAACUGCUUAUAUAUCCUGAGGAGCAUUCCAUUACAGUUCAUAAAUACCUCCCUUGUCCUUUUUAGGGCUGCAGAGUAUUCCACUGCAUGAUAAAUCAUAUACCAUGCGACCUCAAGAUCCCCCUGAUGGACUCUGAAGUUUGUUCACCUUUUUACUAUUACAAAUUCUGCACUAGAUACUCUCGUGUAUUCAUCACUUCCCACACGUGCACAUGCCAUCUGUAAGAUACAUCCCAAGCGGCAGCACUGUGGGGCCCAACAACCUGUGGUUUGUCAGAUACUGCUAAAGUGCUCUUCCGAAUACACUCCCCUAAAUGGGCUGUGUUUUACAGGUGACUCACAGAAUAAAUGCAUUUCAAUAAAACUAGGAAUACAAUCAAUUAAGAAACUAACAAAAGCC